rnacentral:rRNA from 1 species
CAGUCGCCACGGUAAUACGAAGGGGGCUAGCGUUGCUCGGAAUGACUGGGCGUAAAGGGCGCGUAGGCGGCGGCCAAAGUCAGGCGUGAAAUUCCCGGGCUCAACCUGGGGGCUGCGUUUGAUACUUGGUUGCUUGAGUGGGGAAGAGGGUCGUGGAAUUCCCAGUGUAGAGGUGAAAUUCGUAGAUAUUGGGAAGAACACCGGUGGCGAAGGCGGCGACCUGGUCCUUUACUGACGCUGAUGCGCGAAAGCGUGGGGAGCAAACAGGAUUAGAUACCCCCGUAGUCCCUGUCUCUUAUAC